CUGUCGUCGCUGUAGCUCAGGGAGAUCGCUCACCCUGCUCUAGCCGGGUGAUACGUGCCACCACCACCAGCUGUCAGACACUGCCAUCCCUCCCAGAUCAGUACUGGCCCCACCUGCAUCUGUCGUCGCUGUAGCUCAGGGAGAUCGCUCACCCUGCUCUAGCCGGGUGAUACGUGCCACCACCACCAGCUGUCAGACACUGCCAUCCCUCCCAGAUCAGUACUGGCCCCACCUGCGUCUGUCGUCGCUGUAGCUCAGGGAGAUCGCUCACCCUGCUCUAGCCGGGUGAUACGCGCCACCACCAACAGCUGUCACACACUGCCAUCCCUCCCAGAUCAGUACUGGCCCCACCUGCAUCUGUCGUCGCUGUAGCUCAGGGAGAUCGCUCACCCUGCUCUAGCCGGGUGAUACGUGCCACCACCA
rnacentral:misc_RNA from 1 species